AAACCAUGGUGAGGGUAUUCCAUGCGCUAUUUAUUGAAAUGCUAUCAUGCGUCACAUAACGGCUCAUCAGCUAGCUGUUUGAAAGAGGAGAUACUUUUUCUCAGAGC